rnacentral:lncRNA from 1 species
UAUAUGGAAGUUCCCAGGCCAGGGGCUGAAUCUGAACCACAACUGCGACCUAUGCCACAGCUGCAGCAAUGCCAGAGCCUUUAACGCCCUGUGCUGUGCCAGGGAUCAAAACCGCACCUCUGCAGUGGCCUGAGCUGCUGCAGAGACAAUGCCAGAUCCUUAACUUGCUGUGCCAUAGCAGGAACCCCAAAUAUACUGUUGAAGUUGGUUUGUUAGUAUUUUGUUGGGGAUUUUUCCAUGUAUUUUCAUCAGGGAUAUUGACCUGCAUUUUUGCCUGGCUCUGAUAUAAGGCUAAUGCUGGACUCAUAAAAUGAGUUUGGAAGAGUUUCAUCCUCUUCAGUUUUUUUUAGAAAAUAUUGAGAAAGGUUGGCAUUAAUUCUUUAAAUGUUUGGUAGAAUUCACCAGUGAAGCCAUCUGGUCCUGGGCUUUUCUUUGUUGAGAGGUUUUGACUGAUUCAGUCUCUUUACUCAUUUUUGGUCUGUUCAGAUUUUCUGUUUUUUCAUGAUUCAGUCUUUUUUCUUACUUACAAAUUAUUUUAUUUUUUGUUUUUUAUUUUUAACUUUAAAUUUUUUAUUAUAGCUGAUUUGCAAUGUUGUGUAAAUUUCUUCUGUACAGCAAAAUGACCCAGAUAUAUACUUAUAUAUAUGUAUGUAUGUAUGUAUGUGUGUGUGUGUAUAUAUAUAUAUAUAUAUAUGUGUCUGUGAGUCUGUUUCUAUUUUGUAGAUAGGUUCAGUUGUGCCACAUUUCCAAUUCCCCAUAUAAGCGAUAUCAUAUAGUGUUUGUCUUUCUGACUUACAUCACUUAGUAUGAGAAUCUCUAAUUGCAUCCGUGCUGCUGCAAAUGGCAUUAUUUCCUUCUUUUUAUGGCUGAGUAAUAUUCCAUUGUGUAUAUGUACCACAUUUUCUUAAUUCAUUCAUCUGUCAACAUACAUUUAGGUUUGUUUCUAUGUCUUGGCUAUUGUGAGUAGUGUUGCUGUGAACAUAUGGAGGCUUGUAACAAUUUCCAAUAGCCAAGACAUGGAAACAACCUAAAUGCCCACUGACAGAGGAGUGGAUCAAGAAGAUGUGGUACAUAUACACAGUGGAAUAUUACUCAACCACUAAAAGGAAAAAAAUAAUGGCAUUUUUAGUAACAUGGAUGGACCUAGAAAUGAUCAUGCUAAAUGAAGUCAGACAACGCCAACAUCAAAUGCUUUCACUGACAUGUGGAAUCUGAAAAAAGGACAGAAUGAACUUCUUUGCAGGACAGAUACUGACUCACAGACUUUGAAAAACUUAAGGCCUCCAAAGGAGACAGUGUGGGGGGUGGGGGGAUGCGCUGGGGGUGUGGGAUGGAAAUCCUAUAAAAUUGGAUUGUGAUGAUCAUCGUACAACUACAAAUGUAAUAAAUUCAUUGAGUAAUGAAAAAAUAAAAAAUUAAAAAAAUUUAAAAAAACAUAUGGAUGCAUGUAUCUUUUUGAAUGAAAGUCUGUCUGGAUGUAUGCCCAGGAGUGGGAUUGCUGGAUCAUAUGGUAGUUCUAUAUUUAGUUUCUGAGUGCAUCUUCAUACUGUUCUCCAUAGUGGUUGUACCAAUUUACAUUCCCACCAACAGUGUAGGAGGGUUCCCUUUUAUCCACACCCUCUCCAACAUUUGUUAUUUGUAGACUUGUUAAUGAUAGCUAUUCUGACUGGUGUGAGGUGGUACCUUGUUUCAGUUUUGAUUUGCAUUUCUCUAAGAAUUAGAGAUGUUGAGCAUUUUUGCAUGUGCCUACUGGCCAUCUGUAGGUCUUCUUUGGAGAAAUGUCUAUUUAGGUCUUCUGCCCAUUUUUCUUUUUUAAAAUGAUUUUUAUUUUUUACAUCAUAGCUGGUUUACAGUGUUCUGUCAAUUUUCUACUGUACAGCCAGGUGAUCCAGUCACACCGACAUAUAUACAUUCUUUUUCUCACAUUAUCAUGGCAUCAUUGUUUAAUUGUUUCCCUUUCUCUAUUAGACAGGAACGCUUGAGAGGGCUGAAGCCAGAUAAAUGUCCUUUCCCCAGAUGGGAUAAGACUCUGAUAAAUUCUUUUCCUCUAGAGAGCAGAUCCUUUGUUGUAGAAACAGCUCUGUUUGGAUAACACUUUGUUAUGGACAAUGUAUA